AGAAAAAGUCGGUUUUACCGACGCAUUUUUGCCGACGCUUUUUACAAGCGUCGGCAAGUUUCGGUCUAUUGUCAAAAUUUACCGACGCUUGUAAAAAGCGUCGGCAAAAGACGACGCUUAUUAGCGUCGGUGCAGUCUCGAACCUAAGACGACGCUAAAAAGCGUCGUCGGAAGCCACCGCACCUACAUCCCAACCCUCUUCUGACCAUCCCUCCUCCCUCCUCUCUCCGGGUUUCCGAUUUCCCGGCCACCGCCCUCCUCUCUCUAUUUAACUAGUAGUAUUACCCACAUCUCUCUCGCCCUCCUCGUCUUCUCUCUCUCUCUAACCCAUCAACGGUGCCUUCUCAUCAUCAUCCAACCCCCCUCCCUAACCCCCUCCGGAUUCAAGAAGCAGGGGCUCCGGCGAUGCUGCCGGUGCUUUGGUCAAACCUAUUGGGCCAUGGAUAUCUUCUUCUCCUCUUCUACCCUUUCAGAAAACCUGCUCUCUCUUAUCUUUUUAGGCCCGACAAAGGGUCGGAGUAGCCUCUCGUUUGGGCCGAGCUGAGAAAAGCGGCGACGAUGAGUUCCCUUCUCCUCCUCCUAUUCUUCCUCCUUAUUCCGGGCUAUUCCGCUCUCCCCUUGUGCACCGAUUCCAGUGGGUUUCUUCCUUAUUCUUCUUGCUCUUCUAUCCUGCUAUCUUUUCG
rnacentral:lncRNA from 1 species